rnacentral:lncRNA from 1 species
UUCUUCCUUCAGCAUGGGGCUUGGUAAUUGUCACGGCUGGGUUUGGAGGUGAAAUCAAAUGUUAUCAAAAUUUCGGGUUGCCUAAAAGGAUGGGUAGGCAACCCCAUCUUUUUGGAGGCCAUAACAGUUCUUCUCAUGGCAACACCUAGAAGAUUUUCUUUUUCUCUUUAUUCAAAUUUAAAUGUAGGAUUGACACAUGAUGAAAUUCUCAAUUUUUCUUGAUUAUUUUUUUGGUCUUAAACUCUCUGGUUCAUAAGGGGAAAUGAACCCUAACUAAUCCGAAAUUUGGUCAUGAGAUAAGUAAAACCUGACUAAGAAUUGUCGAUCAACCUUAACUUUAACACAUUAAACACUUAUACCCAAUUACUUGAGAUUGUAGCAUUUAGUGGCAAUGUUGAUACAUGUAUACCUCUGCAUGGCAAUAACUUCACAUUGUUGUAAACUAUAAAGUUAGUGACAAAACCGUUGUAGAUGUAUACAAGAAAUGAAAAUUACAUUCAAAUUUUUUUAGACCAGAGACGAAAAAGUGAAAACUAAAAAUUCCAGACAUCAAACAUUUUGUUCAGUUCUCGUGAAUUUGUAUCUCAAACAGAAUUUGUACAUGUAGCUCAAUGUGUGCUUGAUAUCCUUAUAUUGUUGUAUAGUAAGUGAGCGACAGAAAAGUUAAUACAAAAAUAAGUAUACAACAAUGGAAGUGAUGUUGAAAGUUGACAUACAAAGGGGGUAGGAUUGAAGAUUGGAUAAAUUACAAAGUACUGUUUCUUGUACUUUCUACCAACAAUAGGGUGUGGAUACUCAGAAUCUGCCUAAAUUCAUUUGGUCCUACUUCUACCACAUCAAUCCAAGUAUCUAUUCCCUACAACUUUCUCGACUUGAUGAUAACUAGUUUAAUUUAUUCAAAUCUACUUGCCUAUAAAAUUGUUUUCUUCUUUUUCUUUUCAUUUCACAUCCCUUGAAAUGAACAAUGUUUUUAGCGGAAAGGAAUUCUUGUGAAGUAGCAUGUCUCUAUAUUGUACACUUAUAAAGGAAAUGGAAAAAAAAGGGAGCGUAGCUGUUGUCACUUCCUGUUUAAUUUAUCUCAACUUGUAUAGAUGGAAGAAAAUUUCCAAAUAAGUUUCCUUAUUGAUUAUGGACUCUAUCUGCCGGGUAUAGUCUAAAAUUUUCACUAAAAUCCGUCUCAGAUGUGACUGCUUGAUAGGAGCUAUCUUAGUUUGGCAACAAGAUUAUUUGGUUGAGACUUGAGAGAGUUACAUCUGACCAAUGGUCUUUUCAAUCCUCCUGUUCCUUUUCACCAACUCUAAUGCGACCUUUCAGGUAUUAUUUGCAAGCACAACAGUUUUUUGUUUUUUGUUUUACUAUACUAUUGGUAUGAAGUAAUUCUCGUUAGAAAUAAUGACUAAUUUUCAUCACAGACCAUGAGCACAUACAAGGUGAGUAUUCUCCUCUCAACAAGAUUUAUUUCAUAUUCAAGGAUCAACCAAAAUUAAACCCUAAAUCAUUUGCUUAAGGGAUACAAAUUGCUACCACUUAUGCUAAUCAUUGUUGAUUCAUGCACAACAGUUUUAAACAUGUUCUGAACGGGAAUUUCAGCUAUGAUAAUAAGAGGAAUAAAGUUUAGUGGUUGUUUGACUUUCAAAGGAAAUUGAAUUUCUUCGACACCACUCUAAAGUAGUUCUAACAACUGAUCUCAUGAAAACACAGAAAAUAUAGAUUUCAGUUUCUAGUUGAAUCAGACAAUGUAGCAACACCUAAUCAAACAAACCAACAAUGUUCUUUCAUCCCUCUAUAUAUAGCUUACAACUUAGCCAAUUGAAUACACAAAACAGAACAAACGCAACAGUUUCAUUAUCGAACAUCUCAUAGAAUUUCUAAUUUGUCUAUCCAUUAGCAUGUUUUCAGCAAAAGAGAAAAAUGGGCGUUGACCAUCUUUCUUCUCUUAUAUCUCAACCAUUCUUUCUUUUCUCAUUGAAUAUAUUUUGUCUUCAUCAACUUGCACUAGCUGGCACUAUCAGGCACUAUCAUUUUGAUGUACUUACUCUUUUAAGAGAAUCAGUUCCUCUAUUCUCUUGCAAUUUCAUCAAAACCAUAUUCACAUCACAGACAUAAAUAUAAAUAGAUUGCAUUCUACACUUACUCUCUUCUACCCCCUUUUUUUUAUCUAAGGUACUGGGUUACAGAUGCAGAUAAAGUACCAAAAUGAGACUAAUGACUAAUGAGAAUCACAUAACAUUGACUUAUAACAUACCAUGGUACAAAGUACUAAUCUUAAGUUGAUACGUCACUACUAAUUACUAUUUUCAGGAUAAUGAUGGAAUUCUGAUAACACAAGCCUUCCAAAUGUCUCUGAUUCCUACACUAUUGAUGUACUACCAGGGUCAUUCUUAUAACAUGUUACCUAAAAAUGCCACACACCAGUUGUGUGGAUAAAAUUGUGGAGAAAGAACUUAAACUCACCAGUACUUUAAGAAACAAGCAUAGAUGACUCGAAUUUUUAAUAAGAGAAGUGCUAGUAAUACAUUUUCUAAUACACUUUCAACUUAUCUGUUGAAAAAAUUGUGUUGCUAGUGUUUCUCUUUUAAACGAAAUUAACACUUCUUUUAUCUGCAAGUUUUGUCUUAAUCAAACAGAAACUAUAUCAACUAAAACGAGAUAUUUCUAAAUUUAAUAUAGAAGAUUGGACUAUGGCAGAUACAUUCAAGCUUGGGAAGAGAUACCUUCUCUGUUUGAUCAAUGUUGCACUCAAUGAUGAACUCUUAUUCAGCAUUGCAAAUCACAGCCCUCAGUCGUUGAAGCAGAUCCCAUUUAUGCCAAACCAUUUGAGACCAACACUAUUCUUAUAGCUCCUGGACAAACCACUAAUGUUCUUCUCAGAACCAUAUCUCAUAACCCAAUGCAACAUUCUUUAUGGCUGCUAGGCCAUAUGUGACAACUCCACUGUUACCGGUAUCUUGGAAUAUGAAAUUCCGUCACGCUUUCUUCACAAAACAACUUCCAUGAACAACCUUUCACUCUUUAAGCCUUAAUGACCUCCCUGCUCUUAAUGACACUUCAUUUGCAAUUGCAACAACCUUCACCCACAAGCUCCAUAGCCUUGCAACUUCACAGUUUCCUUGUAAUGUCCCCCAAAAAGUUAAUAAGCACUUUUUCUUCACCGUUGGUCUUGGAACGAGUCUCUGUCGAUCCGCAUAAUCAAACUUGCCAGGGACCUAAUGGAGCCAUGUGUCUAUCACACUCCCAACCACAACACUUCUUCAAGCCCAUUUUUUUGGGAAAUCCAAUGGAAUUUACUCACUUGAUUUUCCAAUUAACCCUUUAAUGUCAUUCGACUACACAGGCACCCCACCAAACAACACCAUGGUGACCAAUGGGACAAAGUUGGAGGUUCUUCCUUUCAACACAAGUGUAGAGCUUGUUAUGCAGGACACCAACAUUCUUGGUGCCGAAAGUCACCCUCUCAAUUUGCAUGGGUUCAACUUCUCUAUGGGUUGGCUAAGGUUUUGGUAACAUCGAUCCAUAUAAGGAUCCUGCAAACUUCAAUCUUGUUGGCCCAAUUGAAAGGAACACAGUGGGAAGUACCUUCUUGUGGCUGGGUCGCCAUUCGUUUCUUAGCAGAUAACCUAGGUUAGUGUCCCUUGUUUCUUGCUUUGCACAAAAC